GCUCCUGUAUCCCAAGGGUUCUACGAAGCAGCUGCAACACCAAGCAUGAUGUCAGUGAUAGUAGCCACUGCCUUUAGAAGAAAGGCAGAUGUGCAGUUAGCUACAACUAAAUGUGUAUUCUAAGCCAGUAUGUGCCAAAUACUGGACAUCAGCCAGGGAUGGUGUGCAAGCGGAGUUCCUGAUUUUGCGGGGCUGACGGAGCCUCGUGCUUCUGUACCAAGCAAGCAUCAGCUCUACACCAUGUCUACACAGCAAUUUCCUGCUACUGUGCCCAGUGCCAGUGAUGUCUGCCUGAGCUGUUUACAAUCAUACGUUUAGUACCUGAAACAACCUACUAUGGAAAACAAGGAGGAAGCUACAGAAUAUGCUGAACUUUUGGCUAAGAGGAUGAAGGAAGCCAAAGAAAAGCACUGAGAAUAGAUCACCAGGAGAUGCGGGCUGUUCUCGGCGAGACCUUUCGCUUCUGAGUCCAGUCAAAGAAUUAUUACAGCUUAAAAAAUCCACUCCAUAAGUACCCACUGGACAGCCCUUAGGUGCCAGAUACCAGUGAAACAGCAUUUUGUGAACUGAUGUCUCUGCUACUCUCUUCCCUGCGUAGUGGCCCUGACAUCGCUCAACUCUCAUCCUGUUUCCUGUCUUGUUUCUUUGCCUUUUGAGGAGGUAAGUACAGCUCACUACCACCAUUGAUAAACAGA